UUUCCGUAGGUGAACCUGCGGAAGGAUCUUAGUGAAUUGAAUAUGUUAGCGGACCUCUUCGGAGUCCCUAGCAUCAAAUCAUAUCCAUAACACCUGUGAACUGUAAGGCUGUCUUGAAAACGAAAGUGAUUAGAGCGCCUGCCCAUUUUAUACAAACAUUAAAGUAACAAACGUAGUCUUAUUAUAAUCUAAUAAAACUUUCAACAACGGAUCUCUUGGCUCUC
rnacentral:misc_RNA from 1 species